AACUUUUUCAAAAGAUUCGAAAUGCAGCAGCAAACUACAAUAUCAACUCAGACUGGUUGCACUUAUCACCAAGCUUUCCCCUGGAAUAUUCGACUGUUCCACUGCAACGUUGGUAAAAAAUACAAGGAAACAAGAGACAUGAUCAACAUCAUUCUCAAAACAAAUGAUUCGAUUGGAUCUAUGGUAGAGGCAAAUAGGCGAACUGUUUUUAGGAAAGCGUCUCAAGAAAACAUCAUUGCAAAUGAUCAAACUGUUUUAAUUGUGUCCAACAACUUAAGAAUCUUUGGUUACAAUACAACCAUUCCGAACAUUAUACUAGCUCUGGUUGGAAAUGGAAAGGAAGCCAUUCUUGUGUGUUCAGCUUACAUCAAUCCAUCUGAUUUAAAGACACAAAUGCGACGCUUUACUACCUUUAUUGAAAAAUAUCUUCAAUUCCCUAUCAUAAUAGCUGGCGAUUUCAACUGUCAACAUCACCUAUGGUCAAGUAAAAACUCUUUUCGCUAUGGCAGUGAGGAUCCAGCAACACACCUGAGUGAGUUUAUUUGGAAACAUUCUCUUUCGAUUUACAACUUCCCUUCAAAUGCUGACAAUUACACCUUCAAACGACAAAAUCAUGUCUCUUGGAUAGAUUUGAUUUUGGGCAACAUUGAGACUAGGGACUUUGACCUAACAGAAGAGUUCGUAACAGAUCAUAGAAUGAUGAAGGUUAGCUUUUAUUUUAGUGUUAUUUUUCAUGAAAAACUUCAGUUUCAAAAAUAUAAGUCAUACUUCACUCCAAUAAAAGAUCUCAACAUGAAAAUGAAAAUAGACAUGACUAACAACUAUGAAAUAGACCAAACUUUUAGAAGAAUAUUAAGCGCUAACUUUGACAAUAACAAGAAAUGUUUGAUUCAGUAUAAAAAAUACAAUCUCAAGCUAAUGAAACUUAGAAAAAGAAUCAAACAACUAUCUAGAUUCAAUAAACAUAACUUCUCAGAAGAAAUUAAUGAAACAGUAAGAGAUCUAAAACAACAAGAGCAAAUAGAAAGGGAGAAGACGAGGAAGAACACUCUUUUAUAUCUAAUGAAAAACCUCAAUAAUCCGUUAGUUACCUGGCCCAUUAUAAACAGAAUUAUGAAACCCAAUGACACUUUAUCUGCUCUAUUGUCAGAUGACGAUUGCAGGCAAAGGGAACUUUGGGGCUUCAUCUACUCUUAUCCUUAUUUUACUUAUACGUCAGGAACUGAAACAAAUUGUUUAACAAAUGAAGAGGAAGUUGCGAUCAGAGAGAUGAUCUUUAAGAAGCGUUCAGGUUAUGCUGAUAACUUCACUGCCAAAACAUGGAAACUUUUUUGGUCAAACAACAAGGAACAACUCAUACAACUCAUCAAGAUAACCUUUGAGAAAGGUUACAUUCCCCAAUCUCUCAAAAUAUUCGGGGCUCACUUUAUUCCCAAACCAAAUGGGACUUUUCGUGUAAUCAGAAUCUCCAACUACAUCUUGAAGAUUUAUGAUAAAAUUCUCUCCAAAAGGAUCAAGAAAGUCUUGAGUAAUGUUUUAAUAAGACAAACGCAAUUUGCCUAUCAAACUGGUAUCAAUAUUAUGGACCUACAUGUAAUCCUGUCGGAGAAAUGGAGUAAAGAGAAAAUCCUGAUAAGUGCGGAUGUUUCGAAAGCCUUCGACAUGGUCAACAUUGAUUAUGCUACAGAUGAACUUUCUCGGGUAUUGCCAAAAUCUGAUAUUGAAAUGAUUAAACAGUUUGUUCACGGUCGGUGGCUAAGGACCAAGGUACACAAUUCCUUCAAAUUUAAACCGGACCCUUUCGGGGUUCCACAGGGUUCUAGUGUUGGUCCACUUCUGUUUAUAGUGGCCCUCAACAAAGUCAUUCGCUUGGUAAAAAUGAGAAACAUCGACAUUAUGGCGUUUGCUGACGACUUGUUCAUUCUAACCAAAGAAGGCAAAGAAGAAGAAAUCUUUAAUAUCCUUCAAGUUGAACUUAAAAAGGCCAACUUAACCCUAAAUAAAGAUAAAUCACACAUAAUCAAAGGUUCAUCCAAAGCAUCAACCAAAAUCGUGGGUGUGAACUUUAACUUCAAACCAACUAUUCUCAACAUCGAUGAACAACUAGAAAUUAAUGGGACAAUUCUAACAAGGAACAAGGAGACUAUCUACACAUUACCACUGGUUCUCAAAAAAUACAUCGUCAAUGCUUAUGUUGCCUCUCUACUUGGUUCCAUAUCUCCUCAAAUUCUUAUCGACAAUACUGAGUUCCUGACACUCUUCUCAAAAAUGAUUCAUCGCGUUAAUGUUUUUCUCAAGAAAAUUAUCCGCUCUCCUCGACACAUCUCAGCUUGGACCCCAAUAGCGAUCAUGGGAAUAAACAAUCCUCUACAGUAUUGGAUAAAGAACGUAACAAUCGCUGUUCUCCGAUCUUCAAGGGACAUCAAAAGAUGGCCUUUCAUCAAACACUUUGAACCUCUUCCACUCUUCAUUAAGAGACCAAAUAUGGAGGUCUUUUACAAGAAGCAAACACCUCUACCCUUGAAAAAUUUUCCUUUAAUUGGAUAUAAAUUGAAAGGUGAAAUCAUUCAAAUUACCGCUCACAAUGGGGUUCAUUUCUAUCGCAUCCUUGAAACUAAAGGCGAUCGGGAAAAUCACUUUCUUGCUGUUUAUAUCAUGGUUAAACUUACAGAAAACAUCAACUGCACUUACAUCCUACCAAAAAUAAUAAUCGAACAUCCUCAAUCUUUCUCAGCCUCCUUUGUGGCCAAUCUAUGUAAUAUGAAUCAAAAGAAAUUUCUUUGGAUGAAGUGUGACAAAUUCAACAACAUUGAUAAACCAAAAGGUAUCUUAAAGACGGUAAAAAACAAAAUUGUCUCAUGGAAUGCCUUCAUGAAAGGUGUUGAGGACAAACUAGACCAAUUCUUUGAGGACAAUUUUAUCAAAGAUGAUGGCUCAAUUGGUAACUUCUUUAGUUUCAAACUGAAUGUAAUUGACUAUGGAAUGAUUGGCGAUAUGUACGCCGAAGAGGUAAUUAAACUAAUUGCAAACAUCAACAUCAAAAUAAGAGUUUUGAACUUCUACAAACGGAAGAAUCAAACCUUACAUCAUUACCUCAACGACUGUAAAACAACUGAGCAAGAAAGAAAUGGAAUUAGCGAAUGGAAAUUUCAAGGAAUUAGACGAAUUGACUCAAACAUCACCAUGGGAUUGAGAAAAAUCUUCACUAAACUUGAAAAGAAACUCGAUUCAUGUGAAUCAAGAAUAAACCCUUUAGUUGACCGAACUACCCUAUUUUAUAAACGAAAAUAUCUUUUAGCAAAAACAACUGACACAAACCCAACAACCCAAUAAUCUUGUAGCUCCCUUACCCAACUAAACCUUAUCUUUAAGUAAAUUAAUGUAACUGAAAACUCGAAGACAAAAACCCAACAAAAAUAACUUGUAAUCACUUCCAUGUAAUGAACAAAACUGUCGUAAAAAUAUUGUAACAAAUCCUUCCCUAACUGGGUCUUGAACUCAGACUGCUCUUUCAAAGUAAUUUGAAAGUUGCGGGCCGCAGAAGUCAACUGCGGUGGGCAUGUGUAAAACAUGAACAGUACUGUAACGUAUUCUGUUUGAAAAUAAAAGCUGUUGGGAGAGAAAUGACAACAUAUUUGUUUGAAGUAUUAAUUAAUAGGCCUCUCUGUAUUAACAUCUUAUAAUUAAUGUUUUUCAAUAAUGAAGAAUAAUUUUUUCUCAAUUGUUGACCGAUCCAAAACUCAACUCUCCAAACCUCAUCUAUCUUAGAUUCAAAUUGAAAAUCAAUUCCAUAAAUCCAAGAUGAUGUUCAACUGUCUUGGAGAGUUAUGGCUAUACGUAAUUACUUAUACACCUCUUAUAAUAUCGGUCUAUCUUUUAAUCAUACCAACGUUUGGAAUCAAAACGGGAAUCAGUCGGUGUUACAUCAAGCUCUUGAUGUCAAUAUUUGAGUUUUGCCGGCAAACAAUU